rnacentral:rRNA from 1 species
GAUGAACGCUGGCGGCGUGCUUAACACAUGCAAGUCGAACGAACCUUUCGAGGUUAGUGGCGGACGGGUGAGUAACGCGUGAGGAUCUGGCCUUAGGAGUGGGAUAACAGUUGGAAACGGCUGCUAAUACCGCAUAUGGCGAGAGCUGAAAGAUUUUAUCGCCUAGGGAUGAACUCGCGUCUGAUUAGCUAGCUGGUAGUGUAAGGGACUACCAAGGCGGCGAUCAGUAGCUGGUCUGAGAGGAUGAUCAGCCACACUGGGACUGAGACACGGCCCAGACUCCUACGGGAGGCAGCAGUGGGAAUUUUCCGCAA